CUAGCCGUACUGCAACGCCGCCUCCCCACUGCUAGAGCACCCUAGCCGCCUUGGGACUCCGGGCGCAGCCUGCGGGAGGCUCCCCACCGCUGCUUACGAGGCGGGAGUUGGGGAAUGGAGCAAAGAGGGAAGAAGGCGAGGCCUGGGGGAGGCCAGAGAAUCGCCUCAGACCGGUAGCUCGGAGAUUGGAGUAAGAAAGGCAGAUUUCUGUCAGAGGGUGGUCAUCUGGAACCAAACCAGGGGAGUCCAGUUACUCUUAAAAUUCUGAACGGAAUCUUGAAAGGUACCAGGAGGAAAGGAAAGCCAGGGCACAACGAGCAGAGAGGAAAAAAUGAAAAGUGAGAAAUGGUGAGGACAUACAAAGCAAGGGAGCGUCAAGAACAAUGGAUAUGGGAA
rnacentral:lncRNA from 1 species